UACGGGGGGGGCAAGCGUUGUUCGGAAUUACUGGGCGUAAAGGGCUCGUAGGCGGUUUGUCGCGUCUGCUGUGAAAACUGGGGGCUCAACCCCCAGCCUGCAGUGGGUACGGGCAGACUAGAGUGCGGUAGGAGAGAUUGGAAUUCCUGGUGUAGCGGUGGAAUGCGCAGAUAUCAGGAGGAACACCGAUGGCGAAGGCAGAUCUCUGGGCCGUAACUGACGCUGAGGAGCGAAAGCAUGGGGAGCGAACAGG
rnacentral:rRNA from 1 species